rnacentral:rRNA from 1 species
GGAGUAUGGGCCGUGUCUCAGUCCCAUUGUGGCUGAUCAUCCUCUCAAACCAGCUACUGAUUGUCGCCUUGGUGGUCCAUUACACCCCCAACUAGCUAAUCAGAUGCAGACUCAUCCUGAAGCGAUAAAUCUUUCACGAAUAGUAUCUCAACUACGCGCAUAUGGGGUAUUAGCAGAAGUUUCCCUCUGUUGUCCCCCUCUUCAGGGCAGAUUCUCUACACAUUACUCACCCGUCCGCCACUUUCCUCCGGUGCAAGCACCGGAUUCUCGUUCGACUUGCAUGUAUGAAGCACGCCGCCAGCGUUCGUCCUGAGCCACUGAUCAAACUCU